UACGUAGGGGGCAAGCGUUGUCCGGAUUUAUUGGGCGUAAAGAGCGUGUAGGCGGCCACACAGGUCCGUUGUGAAAACUCGAGGCUUAACCUCGAGACGUCGAUGGAAACCGUAUGGCUAGAGUCCGGAAGAGGAGAGUGGAAUUCCUGGUGUAGCGGUGAAAUGCGCAGAUAUCAGGAAGAACACCCGUGGCGAAGGCGGCUCUCUGGGACGGUACUGACGCUGAGACGCGAAAGCGUGGGGAGCGAACAGG
rnacentral:rRNA from 1 species